UACGUAGGGGGCAAGCGUUGUCCGGAAUCAUUGGGCGUAAAGCGCGCGUAGGCGGCCCGGUAAGUCCGUUGUGAAAGUCAAAGGCUCAACCUUUGAACGCCGAUGGAUACUGCCGGGCUAGAGUCCGGAAGAGGCGAGUGGAAUUCCUGGUGUAGCGGUGGAAUGCGCAGAUAUCAGGAGGAACACCAAUAGCGAAGGCAGCUCGCUGGGACGGUACUGACGCUGAGGCGCGAAAGCUGGGGGAGCGAACAGG
rnacentral:rRNA from 1 species